rnacentral:rRNA from 1 species
AAACAUGUAGUCUAAGCAGACAAUGAUGAAUGUCAUAGAUUAGAUUAGAUUUAAUUUAUUCUAUAAAGAAAGUGUAAGCAUUCCACCUCAAGAGUAAUUUGGCAACAUUGGAACUGAAAUCAUUAGACCGUUUCUGAAACCAGUAGUGAAGUAUGUUGUUUAAUUAGAUGGUCCGCAAAAAACCUUACCACAAUUUGAAUUAAUUAUAUGUUUACAAGCGUUGCACGGCUGUCUUCAGUUAAUGUCGUGAGAUUUUGGUUAGUUCCAUUAAAUUAACGUAAACCCUUACUUUAUUUUUAUAUAAAGUAGUUCACCGCUAUAUUGAAUAUGAUAAAAGGGACUAAGACAAGUC